CGACGGUGAAGAGGAGCUUGCUCCUUGGAUCAGUGGCGAACGGGUGAGUAACACGUGAGCAAUCUGCCCUUGACUCUGGGAUAACUGCGGGAAACUGUAGCUAAUACCGGAUAUUACCUUGGAAGGCAUCUUCUGGGGUGGAAAGAAUUUUGGUCAAGGAUGAGCUCGCGGCCUAUCAGCUAGUUGGUGAGGUAAUGGCUCACCAAGGCGACGACGGGUAGCCGGCCUGAGAGGGUGACCGGCCACACUGGGACUGAGACACGGCCCAGACUCCUACGGGAGGCAGCAGUGGGGAAUAUUGCACAAUGGGCGCAAGCCUGAUGCAGCAACGCCGCGUGAGGGACGAAGGCCUUCGGGUUGUAAACCUCUUUUAGUAGGGAAGAAGCGACUGGGUUUUCCUGGAAGUGACGGUACCUGCAGAAAAAGCACCGGCUAACUACGUGCCAGCAGCCGCGGUAAUACGUAGGGUGCAAGCGUUGUCCGGAAUUAUUGGGCGUAAAGAGCUCGUAGGCGGUUUGUCGCGUCUGCUGUGAAAACCCGAGGCUCAACCUCGGGCCUGCAGUGGGUACGGGCAGACUAGAGUGCGGUAGGGGAGAUUGGAAUUCCUGGUGUAGCGGUGGAAUGCGCAGAUAUCAGGAGGAACACCAAUGGCGAAGGCAGAUCUCUGGGCCGUAACUGACGCUGAGGAGCGAAAGCAUGGGGAGCGAAC
rnacentral:rRNA from 1 species